rnacentral:tRNA from 1 species
ACCCAGAUGGCUCAGUUGGGAGAGUGUAUGACUCUUAAUUUAAAGUUGUGGGUUCAAGUCCCACCUUUGGUG